ACCCAACCGACGAGUCCUAAAAUAGGACGAAACGCGAAUCCUGGAU
rnacentral:hammerhead_ribozyme from 1 species